rnacentral:lncRNA from 1 species
CACGGGGAUAGGCCCGACGCGGGGCCGAAGGAAGGGUGGUCUUUCCCGCAGAGUUGCCGCUGGAGGACCGAAAGUUUUGCAGGCAGCCCUUGCUUCCAGCUUGUCACUCUCUCCCCGCGUCCCUGUCGCCCAACGCGAGGCGCCCCGGUUGGGGUCCCGACGGCUUGGUGGGGAGGAGCCGUGAGGGGUUGCGCCCCCCACCCCCACCCGAGCCAGGGAAGGGACCCUGGUGACCUCGCCUCCCAGCCCUCACCCCCGUCACCCCUUUCUUCUCUUUCCCGGAGGACUUUGGACCAUGGAGAUUCUGCAGUUGUUGCUCUGGGAGCUGAAACCAGUGGGUAGAUGUCGUUCUGAAACGCAGUCAACCAAUAUUGCCUGUCAUGGAACAGCUGUCCCCUCCUGUCAGGAGGGAAAGAUAAGUGAGACCCAUCCUCACCCUCACAGAGAUGCAGUCUGGUGGCCUCUGGAAGAAGGAAGUUGUGAAACUUACCGAUUCCUUGGGAAAACAGAUUGUGAGAUCCAUGAGAGCCCAGAAAAUAUCUUAGGAU